UCAAAAUACGCAAAUUAAGAGGAUAAACAUUUCAAUAAAAAUCUGUAUAGUCAGCACAUGAUAUUCAAAAUAGGGCACCUCUAUGAUGGAAAACCAUAUGUGAGAUAGGUUUGGGAACUGAAAUUACUAUGUUCUAAUGUAAAAGCAAAUAGAUCUGGAUAGUUUGAGGGCAUAUACAAAAUUAAGUUACGAAAACAAAAAAGAGAGUUUGUUCCCAACUGAUAGCCAUUGUUUAGAGGUAGACUUCCAGUUUGAAGAAAAAUGUUCCAGAAAUUUCCAGAAUUCAUCAGUUUCUAAAAAUGGGAAUGAGAAAUUCUGGGUCCUACGCUAUUAGAUCCCAAUGAGAAUUCAGAAUUAUAAUUGAACCUGUUAAAGUGUCCCAAAUUCAUAUGUUCAAACCCUAGAAACUACCAUGGACGCUACUGGCAUCAUAUAAAAGUCAAGCUUUGAAGUUUUCUGUACUGUUUGUGGGCAAUACCUUGUUCUGUCUGAGGCAGGUGGCGUGCAUAACAGAAAGCGGCGAUUCCACAUUCUUGGCUGUAGAUUCCAAUUUGAAGCAUAUUCCGGCGGAGUUUACGGUAUGUAGCACGGCGAGUGGCGGACACCGCUCACUCGGCGGCGAGAAAUGGGAGACGCGAAUCUCCCGAAUCUCCUCCGCCUUAAACAAUCCGGCGCCGCCGUCUUGCAGCUGCAACUCUGCCUCUCCCAGCAAUCUCUCCCCUUCAUACACCACCACCACUUUUCCAUACAUUUAUCCACCCAAAAUUAAUCUUUAAAGAGAAAAAUACAGAGAGAUGUAUAAUGAAAAAAAAAAAUUGAAUUUCUUUCAGUCAAUUCCCCCGAUUUCGCAACGUCGGGCAAUUUUGGAGAAAUUUUUUUCAAUAUUUCAAUAGAUCAAUCAACCAAAUACCCUUUCUCCUUUAGCUGUAUAUUCAUCUGUCCGUUUUCCUUUCCAGAUUUAUAGAUCGAAUGGUAAAGAAAUCGGCGGUGAGAAG